rnacentral:rRNA from 1 species
UCGGGAAUUUUGGGCAAUGGGCGAAAGCCUGACCCAGCAACGCCGCGUGAAGGAUGAAGUAUUUCGGUAUGUAAACUUCGUAAGAAUAGGAAGAAUAAAUGACGGUACUAUUUAUAAGGUCCGGCUAACUACGUGCCAGCAGCCGCGGUAAUACGUAGGGACCAAGCGUUGUUCGGAUUUACUGGGCGCAAAGGGCGCGUAGGCGGCAAUUCAAGUCAUCUGUGAAAUCUCCGGGCUUAACUCGGAACGGUCAGAUGAUACUGCUUUGCUAGAGUGCAGAAGGGGCAAUCGGAAUUCUUGGUGUAGCGGUGAAAUGCGUAGAUAUCAAGAGGAACACCUGAGGUGAAGACGGGUUGCUGGGCUGACACUGACGCUGAGGCGCGAAAGCCAGGGGAGCAAACGGGAUUAGAUACCCGUGUAGUCCCUGAGCGGGCUGGCAAGGCGCAU